rnacentral:rRNA from 1 species
AUGAUAAAAUAUCACACCAACCGACAGUGGAUUUUAGAUUUUAAGUUGUCUUUUUUUGUGAUGCUGCUGCUGGUUCAUCUUUUGUUCCCAUUGGCAACUUCAGGAAAAAUCUGCUUAUGCUUUACUUUAUGGCCCCUUAUUCAUCCUCUUUCUCCAUCAUUGUCUCCCCUUUUCCUAUACCUAGUCUCUUUCUUCAAGUGGAAUUAUUUAUUAAGAGCCCAUACAAAUGAAAUUGCGUAUCUGUUAAGUUGUCUAUUUGUUGUUUGCUUUUAUUUGAUGGGGGUCGCAGCUGCUGAUCUCCAGUUGUCCACAGGCUACACUUUGGUUGAUGGUAACCUAUGCACUUUUAAACUGUAA